rnacentral:rRNA from 1 species
GAUGAACGCUGACAGAAUGCUUAACACAUGCCAGUCUUUGGCGAAUCUGUGCUUGUACAGGCUAGCCAAGUCGGACGGGUGAGUAACGCGUCAAGAACUUGACCUGCAGACAGGGAUAACAGACGGAAACGACUGAGAACACCAGAUACAGUAGUCGGCACGCCUGUGUCUGGCAACAAAAAGAGAUGCUGCGGGAGUGCCUUGUGUCUUAUUAGCUUGUGGGUGAGGUGAUGGCUCACCAAGCCGAUGAUAGGUAGCAGACCUGAGAGGGUGAACGGCCACAAGGGGUCUGAGGUACGGCCGUUGCUCCUACGGGAGGAAGCAGUGGAGAAUAUUGGACAAAGGGGGCAACCCUGAUCCAGGUAUUCUGUGUGCACGAAGAAGGUAUUCGGAUUGUAAAGAGCUUUCAGCAGGGAAGAAGAAAGUGACGGUACCUGCAGAAGAAGCGACGGCUAAAUACGUG